rnacentral:rRNA from 1 species
UACAGAGGUCUCGAGCGUUAGGCGGAAUCACUGGGCUUAAAGCGUGUGUAGGGGGAUCGUUAAGUACCUUGUGAAAUCCCACGGCUUAACCGUGGAACUGCUUGGUAUACUGGCGGUCUUGAGCCACUUAGGGGCUACCGGAACAAAUGGUGGAGCGGUGAAAUGCGUAGAGAUCUGGAGGAAUACCGGUGGCGAAGGCAGGUCUCUGGGCCGAUACUGACGCUGAGGAGCGAAAGCGUGGGGAGCGAACAGG